AGUCGAGGGGUAGGGUUCUUCGGAGCUUGAGACCGGCGCACGGGUGCGUAACGCGUAUGCAAUCUACCUUUUACAGGGGGAUAGCCCAGAGAAAUUUGGAUUAAUACCCCAUAGUAUAGUGAGUUGGCAUCAACACACUAUUAAAGUCACAACGGUAAAAGAUGAGCAUGCGUCCCAUUAGCUAGAUGGUAAGGUAACGGCUUACCAUGGCUACGAUGGGUAGGGGUCCUGAGAGGGAGAUCCCCCACACUGGUACUGAGACACGGACCAGACUCCUACGGGAGGCAGCAGUGAGGAAUAUUGGACAAUGGGCGCAAGCCUGAUCCAGCCAUGCCGCGUGCAGGAUGACGGUCCUAUGGAUUGUAAACUGCUUUUAUACGAGAAGAAACACUCCUUCGUGAAGGAAUUUGACGGUAUCGUAAGAAUAAGGAUCGGCUAACUCCGUGCCAGCAGCCGCGGUAAUACGGAGGAUCCAAGCGUUAUCCGGAAUCAUUGGGUUUAAAGGGUCCGUAGGCGGUCUUGUAAGUCAGUGGUGAAAGCCCAUCGCUCAACGGUGGAACGGCCAUUGAUACUGCAGGACUUGAAUUACUAGGAAGUAACUAGAAUAUGUAGUGUAGCGGUGAAAUGCUUAGAGAUUACAUGGAAUACCAAUUGCGAAGGCAGGUUACUACU
rnacentral:rRNA from 1 species